rnacentral:rRNA from 1 species
CAGCAGCCGCGGUAAUACGAAGGGGGCUAGCGUUGCUCGGAAUUACUGGGCGUAAAGGGCGCGUAGGCGGACAGUUAAGUCAGAGGUGAAAGCCCAGGGCUCAACCUUGGAACUGCCUUUGAUACUGGCUGUCUAGAGUGCGGGAGAGGUGUGUGGAACUCCGAGUGUAGAGGUGAAAUUCGUAGAUAUUCGGAAGAACACCAGUGGCGAAGGCGACACACUGGCCCGUAACUGACGCUGAGGCGCGAAAGCGUGGGGAGCAAACAGGAUUAGAUACCCCCGUAGUCCCUGUCUCUUAUAC